AGUGAACGCUGGCGGUAGGCCUAACACAUGCAAGUCGAACGGCAGCACAGUAAGAGCUUGCUCUUACGGGUGGCGAGUGGCGGACGGGUGAGGAAUACAUCGGAAUCUACUUUUUCGUGGGGGAUAACGUAGGGAAACUUACGCUAAUACCGCAUACGACCUACGGGUGAAAGCAGGGGAUCUUCGGACCUUGCGCGAUUGAAUGAGCCGAUGUCGGAUUAGCUAGUUGGCGGGGUAAAGGCCCACCAAGGCGACGAUCCGUAGCUGGUCUGAGAGGAUGAUCAGCCACACUGGAACUGAGACACGGUCCAGACUCCUACGGGAGGCAGCAGUGGGGAAUAUUGGACAAUGGGCGCAAGCCUGAUCCAGCCAUACCGCGUGGGUGAAGACGGCCUUCGGGUUGUAAAGCCCUUUUGUUGGGAAAGAAAAGCAGCAGGUUAAUACCCCGCUGUUCUGACGGUACCCAAAGAAUAAGCACCGACUAACUUCGUG
rnacentral:rRNA from 1 species